CGGAAUUCUUGUAUCCUUGAUCCUGUGUGAGAAAUAUUGUAGCGGAAGCCUAACAUAUACUCCCUCCGUUUCAAAAUAGAUGACCCAACUUUGUAUUAAAGGGAGUACGUACCAUGAUAGGUUCUUCUUUCAAUCUCAACAAAAUGAUAAAGAUUCUUCAUUCUUGUAGCGUUGCAGGACGGCGAGGGCGCCAGGACCUGAGCUCGGGGGACGGCGCCGGCGGGCGGCCUGCUCGGGGCGCGCGCGGGCAGGAGCAGGACGGCGGGGAGCGUGAAACUGGGGAAGGCCGGGACCGGGACCGCGGGCCGCGGGGACGGCGACGGCCGCCUGCACGAGCUGCGGAGCUGAGUCGGGUUACAUCGUGGGUGCGGCGCGUGUUUUUCUUUUUGAGUCCGCGAGAACAGGCCCGUGCGUGCGUGCGUUAGGGAUGAGCUGGGCUUGGGGCUAGCCCGGCUGAGCCUGGGCCCCUGGAAAAACCUUUAAAUUAUCCCAUGCCUCUGGCCUGGGGCCAGCUUUGUGAGAGCAACUAGUUUUUUUUUCAUGAUAAUACAUGUCUCAUUCAUAUCAUAAAGAACAAAGUACAAGUCACG
rnacentral:lncRNA from 1 species